CACUGGUGAACAAGAACCAAGGCUCGGAAGAGGGGUUUGUCUGUGGGUUAGGACGUGUGUUCGUGGCUGUUAGUCAAAUCUGAAAAAGGUGCAGGCUCUGGUGGACGUUGAAGGUAUUAUUGCAGCUAUUCGGACUCAGAGAUUUCAUCCGGACUUGGUAGGUCCUCAUGCAUUCGAGGAUUCCUACCUUAAGUUUCUUGCUUAGUAUUAGGUUUGAAAUACUGGAGUAUGUUCCACUAGUGUUUCUUUUCGACUUUAUUCAGACGCUUGUAAUGGUGCCGUUUUUACAAGUAUUACUUAUGAAAUGAGAUUCUAUUUCUUUUAA